GCUUGACAUGGUAGAAGUAGAAUCCUGAAAGGGUGACGAUCGGUAUCCAGUCCGAAGCUAAUCACAGGUGUUGCAUGGCUGUCGUCAGCUCGUGUCGUGAGACGUUGGGUUAAGUCCCCUAACGAGCGAAACCCUUGUCUUUAGUUGCUAACGGGUAAUGCUGAGCACUUUAGAGAGACUGCCGUCGUUAAGACGGAGGAAGGUGGGGACGACGUCAAGUCAUCAUGGCCCUUAUGUCCCGGGCUGCACACGUGCUACAAUGGUCGGUACAAAGGGAUGCUAAGUCGCGAGAUGGUGCGAAACCUAUAAAGCCGAUCUCAGUUCAGAUUGGAGGCUGAAACUCGCCUCCAUGAAGUUGGAAUCGCUAGUAAUCGCGGAUCAGCUACGCCGCGGUGAAUAUGUUCCCGAGCCUUGUACACACCGCCCGUCAAGCCACCCAAGCAAGAUGCACCCAAAAUCGCCUGCCUAACCCGUAAGGGAGGGAAGUGCCUAAGGUGUGUUUUGUGAGGAGGACUAAGUCGUAACAAGGUAGUCGUAGGAGAACCUGCGGCUGGAUCACCUCCUU
rnacentral:rRNA from 1 species